UCAGGAUUAACGCUGGCGGCGUGCCUAACACAUGCAAGUCGAACGAAAUAUCUUCGGAUAUUUAGUGGCGAACGGGUGAGUAAUGUACAGGUAAUGUACCUUCGUACUGCGAAUAACAAGCUGAAAAGUUUGCUAAUACGGAAUAGUUUCAUUAGGGGGCAUCCUUUGAUGAAUAAAGAUUUAUCGUGCGGAGAUCAGCCUGUAUCCUAUUAGUUAGUUGGUGGGGUAAUGGCCUACCAAGACGACGAUGGGUAACUGGUCUGAGAGGAUGAGCAGUCACAUUGGAACUGAGAUACGGUCCAAACUCCUACGGGAGGCAGCAGUGAGGAAUUUUGCGCAAUGGGGGAAACCCUGACGCAGCCAACGCCGCGUGAGUGAAGACGGCCUUCGGGUUGUAAAGCUCUGUCGUGUUAUGACGAGUAGGGACGGUAAUACACAAGGAAGCCUCGGCUAACUACGUGCCAGCAGCUGC
rnacentral:rRNA from 1 species